ACACGGGGAUGGAUUGAUAACCAAUCACAUGGGGUUGGAUUGAUAACCAAUAACACAGGGCUGGAUUGAUAAUCAAUCACACGGGCAUAGAUCGAUAAUCAAUCACACGGGGCUGGGUUGAUAAUCAAUAACAUGGGGAUGGGUUGAUAAUCAAUAACAUGGGGAUGGAUUGAUAACCAAUAACACAGGGCUGGGUUGAUAAUCAAUAACACAGGGCCAGAUCAAUCACUCAAUAUUUAAAUGAUUUAUUGGAUUGAUAAUCAAUCACACAGGGCUGGAUCGAUCAUCAAUAACACAGGGUUGGAUUGAUAAUCAAUAACACAGGGCUGGAUUGAUAAUCAAUCACAUGGGGAUGGAUUGAUAACCAAUAACACAGGUCUGGGUUGAUAACCAAUAUCACAGGUCUGGGUUGAUAAUCACAACACGGGGCCAGAUCAAUCACUCAAUAUUUAAAUGUUUUAUUGGACUGAUAAUCAAUCACACAGGGCUGGAUCGAUCAUCAAUAACACAGGGCUGGAUUGAUAACCAAUCACAUGGGGUUGGAUUGAUAACCAAUAACACAGGGCUGGAUUGAUAAUUAAUCACACGGGGAUGGAUUGAUAAUCAAUAACACGGGGCUGGAUUGAUAAUCAAUAACAUGGGGUUGGAUUGAUAAUCAACAACACAGGGCUGGAUUGAUAAUCAAUCACACAGGGCUGGAUCGAUAAUCAAUCACACAGGGCUGGGUUGAUAAUCAAUAACACAGGGCUUGAUCGAUAAUCAAUCACAGGGCUGGACUGAUAAUUAAUAACAUGGGGAUGGAUUGAUAACCAAUAACACGGGGCUGGGCUGAUAAUCAAUCACACGGGCUGGAUUGAUAACCAAUAACACAGGUCUGGGUUGAUAACCAAUAUCACAGGUCUGGGUUGAUAAUCAAUAACACGGGGCCAGAUCAAUCACUCAAUAUUGAAAUGAUUUAUUGGAUUGAUAAUCAAUCACACAGGGCUGGAUCGAUCAUCAAUAACACAGGGCUGGAUCGAUAAUCAAUAACACGGGGCGGAUUGAUAACCAAUAACACGGG